UUAAAAGCGUGGGUUCUGUAACUCACUAGGCAGUGCAGACAAAUUGAAUACCGCAGAUUAGCGUGGUAUAAGAAUUUGACCGCACAGCAUGGUGUGGUAUAAAAGCAACGAUACAAAAA
rnacentral:precursor_RNA from 10 species